CUUGCUUUUGAUUUGUUUUCAUGGAAUAUUUUUCCUUCUCUUUACUUUCACCCUAUGUAUGUCUUUACAGGUGAGGUUAGUUUUCACUAUAUAGUUGGGUCUUGUUUUUUAAUCCUUUUAGCCAGUCUAUAUUUUUAAAAUGGGGAAUUUAAUCUGUUUAUAUUCAGGGUUAUUACUGACAGGUGAGUACUUACUCCUAUCAUUUGAUUGAUUGUUUCCUGGUUGUUUUUGUAUAUCCUUUGCUCUUUACUUCCCUUCUUAUUGUUUAUUUUUGUGGUUGGGUGGUUUUCUGUAAUAAUAAGGUUUGAUUCCUUUCUCUUUCUUCCUUGUGUUUUGGUUCUAUCAGUGAGUUUUAUAGUUUCAAAUGCUUUCAUGAUGGUGUCAAUUCAUGGUGCACCAUGGGACUGAAAUUUAAGUUUUAUAAUGAAUGCUUUUUUCCUUAAUUCCUGCUUUUAUGUCUUCAUGACUGUGUAAAAACUUCAUUAGUUGAUGGAUUCAAAAGACUAACUUGAAGUCAUUUUGGAAUGUGAAUCUGGGCCAGAUAAACCUUCAUGUCCUCUCUACACUAUUCUAAAAAUGGAUGUUCCUCCUGCUUGCUUGGUAGCUAAAAACAUAUCUGACUUCAGCAAUAGUAAGAAGUAGAUUUAUUAAUGCACACAGAAGAAUUGGGACCUGAUGUGGGAGGCAGAGAGAUGAUGAGGGAAAGCUCUCUGGAGUAGCUGCUCUAUUUACCAACACCGACCUUUCUUUCUAGCACAAACUUGGGGCUACCUCCACACGUUGAGUGUUUUCCCUGUGUAAAUCUGCUGUUUUCUUCUAACUCUGAAUUGGCAUGUCCUCACUGAGUUUCAGUCCAAAUUUACAAAAACAAAAUCCCUCCCAACUGAUUUAAUAUGCCUGCACUCAUAUUUUCAAGUGCCUGCACUCAUAUUUAAAGUGUCUGUACUUUAAAUAUUUAAAGUGUCUGCACUCAUAUUUUCAAGAUGUUUGUUUGCAACCCCACACACUGACCUUUCUGUUUCCAAACUAAUUUGAUAUGCACUGCAAUUCUGUGAUACCGAAACAUGAGAAGGAUAUUACAUGAAAGGAAAACAAUUUUCCAGCCUUGCUAUAAACAUAAAGGCAAAAAUCCUAAACAAAACUUUACACAGGGAAUUUGGUCAUAUAUAAAAAUGAUGAAACAUCAUACACAAGUAAGGUUUUAUGUCAACAAUUUAUGAUUGGUGUAACAUUUAAAAGUAAAUCAAUGGGAUACUUCUCAUUAAUGGAGUACAGGGGAAAAUGUUAUGAUUAUCUUCGUAUUGGCUAUAGAAUGUGUGAAAGAGUCACUUAUCUCUUCAUGAUAAAUGAGAAAAUAAUGACAGAACAUUAGAAGUUCACUUAUUUGAUGGCAAGCCUAUACAAAAACCAUACAGCAGAGGGAACUACUUUCACAACGGUGGAGUAAAAUCUGCUCCUUCAUAAAAGGAGGGAGAAUAAGUUUAAGAAUCCAUUAUUCAAAAUUCUUAGGACCAGAAAUUUUUCAAAUUUUGGAUAUUUUCACAUUUUGUAAUCUUUGCAUAUAAAUAAUGAGAUAUCUUAGGGAUGAGAGGCAAGUGUAAACAUUAUCUGUGUUUCACAUAUACCUUAUACACAUAGGCUGAAGGUAAUUUUAUGCAAUAUUUUUACCGGUUUCCUGCAUGAAACAAAGUUUGUAUACACUGAAACAUCAGAAAGAAAGUUGUCCCUAUCUCAGCCGCCCAUGUGGACAAUCUGUGAUUGUUUAGUAUCACCAUUGUAUCUGACUCGAAUUUAUAUGCUACCAAUAAGCAAUCAUUUUAUUACACUUAUUCACCCAUAAAUAUUUAACAAUAAAAAUACGACAUACCAUUAAUACUGUGAAAAUAAUGUGUUCAGGGUAACUAAGCAGCACAGUAGCAUCACCAAAAUACCUGCCCCAGCUGUUAAACAACAGCAAGAAGCAACAGCAGCAGGAUUUCAGUCUCCAUCUACGAUGCUGUGUUUUGAUUAAACGAUUAUUGGUCACUGUAUUUUAUUUUUGUAGGUGAAAAGAGACAUCACAAGCAAUUGAGGGACCAGGAAGUGGAUCCUCUAGAGAUGAGGAGGCAUUCUGCUGGAUGACUUUUAAAAAUGUUUUCUCCAGAGUCAUCUCUCUCAUUAACAAUGUUUUUUGUCUUAGAAAUUUCUUGUUGAUUUUUAAACUUACAUGAUUUCUUGUUUUGGUAUGAAUACAGGCUGCUUCAGUCCUUCAAUAAGCCCAUCACACUUUUUCACCAUGUCAUCUAUCAGCACUUUUUCUGCAGUGUUACGAACAUCAGCUUCAUCACUGUCAGCCUGCGUUUUGCCUGCAACCCAUCAAAUGAGAAUUUUGGAAUUCAGCCAAAGGUUUGUCACAAUCCAAGGAGUGGCAUCAUUAAGAAUCAUCAAGAAAAACAAGAAAACUUUAGCAAGAACAGAAAGUUUAGUGGCAGUAUAACUUUUCCAUUCCCAUCUUUGUGCCCAGCUGUGUGGUAGCCUGAAAGCCACCAGGUUUGCUCCACAGUGGCUGUGAAAACCAGCAGCCCAGCAGCCCCUGCACGGGAGGAUUUCCUUUCUGCUUUCGAAAGCUCUGUCCCCGGAAAACUGUCACUAUUUCAUUUGUAUGUCAGCUCUCUAAAAAGGCACCCUUUUCAUAGCAUGUAUUUACCUCGUCUAACUCAGAGUGUGCUCUAUGUGGACAGUGCUAUUUCUGGGGCAAUUUUUUGCCAUCACAGCUACUUCCGACGGUGAGGCCAAUUGGAGCUAACAAGAGGCUGACCAAAAAACAAAAAAGGAAAAGGUAGGAAAGAUUUCCAGGUGCUUAAAGAAAAUCUCUGUCACAUCUGUGGGACUUUAGAAUACCACACUCCUGCACAGAAUUGUGUGUUUGCCCCAGGGCUGUGUACAUGCUAAGGAAAGACCUCAGAUGACCCUAAUUGUUCACCUCUGGCUGAAUUAAAGUCUCUAUGUGAACAGGAGGUGAAAUACAACAUAAAGUUGCAAGUUUCCCAGUGGAAUGUUGACAGUGUAUCUCAAUGGAUACACAUGCAGCCCCUUGGAAAAGUCCAGGUGAUUUAUUGGUUUAGUAUUUAAGAUCAUUUCUGUCCAAUCAUGAGCUGACCUCUAAGCUAAUGGAACAGCGUCUUUAGUGGCUACACAUGACACACGAUACAGACUUUAGCAAAUUAGUCCAGGAAAGUUACUAAGGAAGUAAUCAACAGCAAAGACUGUGCAAACAAACCCUGGGGAGAGAAUCUGAUUUCCAAACUGGCCACAUUAUAUUAUGUAAAAAGUCCAAUUUCAUUAAAGAAUUACGAGACAUGCAAAGAAACAAAAAAUAUUGCCCAUACAGAGAAGGGAAGGGAAACAAUGAACAGAGAUGAUCCUUUAGGAGCUCAGAUGAUGGAUUAGUAGACAAAGACAUCAGCUAUUAUAAAUACACUGAAAUAACUAAAGGAAACUCUGGACAAAAGACUAAAGGAAUGUAUGAGAAUAAUGUCUUACAACAUAGAAAGAAUUAAAGAUAAGUAAUGAAGUUGUAAAGUACAACCAAUGAAAUAGAAAUUCAAAACAGGGGUUCACCAGAAGACAGAAACAGAAGAAAGGAUCGGCUAACUUAAUUACAGGUCAUUUGAGAUUAUACACUCUAAGGAACAAUAAAGAAAAUAAUUAAGAAAAAUGAACAGAGCCUCAGAGACCUGAAGAACACAAUCUAGUGUAAAAACAUAUGCAUAAUGGGAAUCUCAGGAGAGAGAAGAAAGAGAAAGGCGCAGAAAGAAUAUAUGAAGAUAGAAUGACGACGAAAAUUUUUAUUUUGAUUAAAAACAUUAAUCUCUACAUCUAAGAAGCUCAAAGAACACUAAGUAGGAAAAUCUCUAAGAGAUCCACACCUAGAUCGAAAUAUUAGUGACAAAGGCAAGGAGAAAAUUUUGAAAGCAAGGGACAAGCCACUUAUCAUGAGCAGUUAAUAAACUAAACAGUAAUUUUUCAUUAAAAUCAUGAAAGCCAGAAGGUAGUGAGAGAACACAUUAAAAACGGCAGAAGAAAAACCUAUCAACCAAGGAUUCUAUAUCUUGGUAUGUCUAUUCUUCAGAAGUCAGGGAAAAAUUAAGGCAUUCCUGGAUAUACAAAAACUGAAGAGUUCAUCACCAUCAACCUGACUGCAAGAAAUACUGACAUGAUGAUAUAUAUAUAUACACGCAUAUAUAUGUAUAUAUAUAUACACGCAUAUAUAUGUAUAUAUAUAUACACGCAUAUAUAUGUAUAUAUAUAUAUACACGCAUAUAUAUGUAUAUAUAUACACGCAUAUAUGUACAUGUAUAUAUAUAUAUAUACACACAUACAUACACAGAAAAUCCUUAAGAAUCCCUCAAAAUAUUAUUAGAGCUAAUAAAUGACCUCAGCAAGGUUCAGGACAUAAUGUCAAAAUACAACACUCUAUGGUUUUAAGAAUAAAAUUUCAUUUACAAUAGCAUAAAAAGAAUAGGAUAAUUAGGGAUUCAUUUAACCAAAAAAUGGAGAAACUUUUAUACUGAAAAUGGAAAAUUAUUUUUCAAGGAAAUAAAAGAAGACCCCCAAAAUAGAAAGCUAUACUGUGUUCAUGGAUUGGAAAACUCGAUGUUGCCAAGCUGGUAAUUCUUCACAAAUUGAUCUAUAAAUUCAAUGCAAUCCCUAGAAAACUUCAGGUGAAUUUUUGUUGAAAUAGAUCAGUGAAUCCCAAAAUUUGUAUACAAAUGCAAGGGACCCAGAAUAGCCAAAACAGUCUUAAAAAAAAAGGGCAGAAUUGGAGGACUCACAUUUUUUUAUUUCAACGUGUACUACAAAUCUACAAUUUCAAGAUGUUGUGUUACUAGCAUAAGGAUAAACACAAUAUAUCAAAGGAAUAGAAUUGAGAAUCCAUAAAUAAGCCAUUACAUUUUAAAUUGUCUUAUUUUCAACAAAGGUACAAAAACUAUCCAGUGGGGAUAGAGUAGUCUUUUCAACAAAUAAUGGGGAAAAACUGGAUAUGCACCUGCAAAAAAAUAUACAUGGACUGUUACAUCAUAUCAAGUACAAAAAUGGGCUCCAAAUAAAACAAGACCUAAAUAUAUGAACUAAAAUUACAAAACUCUUUGAGGAAAACAUAAAUGUAUAUCUUCAUGAUCUGGUAAUCAGCAUCAAUUUCUUAGAUAUGCUACCAAAAGCACAAGCAACAAAAGGAAUAAUAGAUCCAAAAAUAGAUUAAAGUUAAAAACUUUGGUGAGUCAAAGGGCACUAAUAAGAAAUGAAAAGAUAACCCACAGACAUGGGAGAAAAUAUUUGCAAAUUUUAUAUCUGAUAAGGGCCUAGUAUUCAAAAUACAAAAAGAACUCCUAAAAUCAACCAUAAAAGACAAAAACCAUGAUUAAAAACUGGGCAUCAGAUUUUAACAGACAUUUCUCCAAAAGAAAAUGUACAAAUGGCCAAUAAGCAUGUAAAAUGAUGGGUGAUAUCAUUAGACCUCAGGAAAAUGCAAAUCAGAACCACAACGAGAAGCCACUUCACAUGUACUAUGAUAGCUAUAAUCUUAAAAAAAAAAAACCUAAAAUAACAAGUGUUAGUGAGGAUGUGGAGAAUCUGGAACAUUCAUACAUUGCUGGUGGGAACAUAAAAUGGUACAUCCUCUGUGGAAAACAGUCUGGCAGUUCCUUGAAGAGUUAAACAUAGAGUUAUCAUGUGACUCAUCAGUUCCACUUUAAGAAUUAUACUCAAGGUAAUUGAAAACAUUUUAACACAAAAUUUGCACAUAAAUGUUCAUAGUAGGAUUAAUAAUAGUACAUACAAACUAGAAACAUCCAAAUGUUCACCAAUGGAUAAAUGGAUAAACAAAAUGUGAUGUAUCCAUUCAGUGAAAUAUUAUUCAUACAUAAAAAGUAAAAAAAAAAAAAAGAUCCCACCCUACAACAUGGAUGAGCUUUGAAAACAUAAUUCUGCAUGAAAGAAGUCAGAUGCAAUGAGCCACAUAUUAUAUACUUUAAUUAAUAUAAAGUGUCCAGAAUAAGUCAAUUCAUAAAAAGCAGGUUAGUGGUUGCCAAGGGAGAAGUAAAGGUAGGAGGAAGGAUUGAGUGCCAUCAGGUAUAGGGGUUCUUCAUGGGAGUAAUGAAGUUGUUCCGGAAUUAACAAGUGGUGAGGGUUGCACAAGCUUAUCAAAAUACUGAAAACCACUAUAUUGUACACCUUAAAAGGUGCAUGUCAUGGUUUGUAAAUUGUAUCUCAAUAAGAAAGUAGCACAAAUAAUUAACUGAAUAACUAAACAAAUAUAAGUUAAACACACUUGCUUUGAUUCCUGGACUGGGAGACUAGAUUACCACUUCUGAUUCUGUAAGUGAAGUUUGUUGGCAUACAACCACAUCCAUUGGUAAGAAUGAUCUUUGACUGCCUUUGUCCUAUAGUGGUACAGACAAGGAGUUGCAAUAAAGAUCUUAAGGCAUAUAAAACUUACAAUAUUCAUUUCCUGGCUCUUUGCUGAAGUUUGUUGACUCCUAUGUUAAAGCAAUCAAAUUUUUAAUGAAAAACCUUUCCAAAAAGUACACUGCUGGUCCAGGUGGCUUCACAGGUAAAUGCUAUUAAACAUCUACAAAUUAUACAUUCUACAAAAAUGUUUUAAGACAAGAGAAGCAGAGAAAACACUUCCCAACUUCUUUUAUGAGCCUAAGAUAACUGUGAUACUAAAACCUGGGAAGAACAUUAUAAAAAAGUUUACUUACAGUCUAACAUCCUUCAUAGACAUAGGCAUAAAAAUCUCUAACCAAGUAGUCAUAAACUCAGUCCAAAAAUAUGUUAAAUAGAUUAUACAUUAAGGUCAAAUGAGACACACAUUCAGGAUAUGUUUUGUAUUAAAAUUAGUCAGUGUAAUUCACUAUAUGAUCAUCUCAACAGAGAAAGUAUUUGACAAAUCCAAAACCCAUUUAUUAUAAAACUUCUCCACCUGCAAGGAAGAGAAGCUCUCCCUCUCAAUAUGAUAAAGGGCACUAUAUUCAACUUAAAGCAUAUCUUAGUGGUGUACUGAAGUGGAAGGAGGUUAUUGGAAGGAGUUCACCCCAGUUGUAAGCAAUAAAUAGGUCCCCCAAUUGUAGAGAAUUUAAGAAUAAUAAUAAAAGUGGCUUAAAAAGCUGUACUGUAUAUUAUCACUAUGUGCUGGCAAUUUUAAACAGAGUCAGAGAUAAACACUCCCUCCUCCUCAGAUGAACCACUCCCACUGCCACAAUCCUUGGUAUGCCGCUGAUAAACAUCAUCUCUAAUGGUAAAAUAUUGGAUGUUUUCUCCUUAAGGUUAGGAGAAGGCAAGGAUGUCUGUCUUCACCAUUUCUACUUAACAUUGAGAGCUUGGCCAGUGUUUUUGUUUAUUUUUAUUUUUUUUCUUGAGAUGGAGUUUCACACUUGUCACCCAGGCUGGAGUGCAAUGAUGCAAUCCCAGCUCACUGCAACCUCCACCUCCCAGGUUCAAGUGAUUCUCUUGCCUCGGCCUCCCGAGUAGCUGGGAUUACGGGUGCCCUCCACCAUGCCCAGCUAAUUUUUGUAUUUUUAGUAGAGACAGGGUUUCACUAUGUUGGUCAGGCUAGUCUUGAACUCCUGAUCUCAGGGUGAUCCACCCUCUUCAGCCUCCCAAAGUUCUGGAAUUACAGGCGUGAGCCACUGUGCCUGGCAAAAAAAAAAAAAAAGUAUUAUAGUCUUUACAUUCUUUUGUAAGAAUUAAACCUUGGGAUUCAAAAUAGUAACAUUGCUGGUUAGAAGUCUAAAGCAAAGACCAGAAAAUGCUGACAUGUAGAGCCAAAAAUUAAGGUCAAUGUGUUCAGAGAAUGAAUCAGGAGCACUAAGGAAAAAGCAGUCACCAUCUAAUCAUGUUGCUUGUACCUGUUGCCACAUUAGGAGUAUAUGCUUAUCAUUCUGUAUGCUACUAAUAGUGAGUCAUUCUUGCAAAUAAAAUUAAUUUUAAUAGACGUACAAGUGAAUAUAUAUAUAAAUCCUAUGAGUGGUGUUUCAGGAAAUAACAAGUUUGGAAGCAAAUAAGUUCUGAAAUUGGCAAUUUUGGUUUACAGUUCUGUAUAGAACUGUUAACUUUGCUAAGGAGAUCCGAAAUUUUAAUUGUUCACCUGCUAAUAACUAGCAUAUUUCUGAGAGUAUGAAUAUUCACAACCUACAGUUCUUUGUAAAUGUGAUAAACUCAAUGUUUCUUAACCAUCAAACCAUGUCUAUAAUGAGUAAGCAGUGUGAAGAAUGUUGGAUAAACUUUAAGAACAACUUUAAUUUAAAGAAUUCCUGGGAAUUCUGAAAUAUUUUUCUUAAAUCUUGAAUAUAAAUAUCUGUUGGUAACUUGAAAGCACUAGAAGAAAAUAUCUACAAUGGCAAUACAAAAUUAUGAGUAUCAUAACUACACUACCAUGUAGCACAUAUAAUAUUAAUUCACUUCUACUGUCACUUGUUUCUAUUUGAACUAGGUCACUUUAAUUAUAUAGUCAACUUUAUUGGGGCUUUUAAAAGUGGCUUGUUUAUAGAAUUUGUGCCAAUGCUCAUGUUAAGUUGAGAUUUUAACCAAGAAUGGUAAUUAUAAAUUGUUAUCAUCACUGAUAAUUUGUGGGAUUGAACUUCAGUCCAGAAUAUUAUAUACAUUGUUAAAAAGAAAUGAUCUUAUUAGGAAGGGGGUUAAGAAGCAUUGUAUAUCAAGAGUGGGCAUGGUGGCUCAUGCCUGUAGUACCAGCACUUUGGGAGGCUAAGAUGGGCGAAUCACUUGAGGUCAGGGGUUCGAGACCAGCCUGGCCAACAUGGUGAAACCCCAUCUCUACUAAAAAUACAAAAAGUAGCUGGAUAUGGUGGCACACACCUGUAAUCUCACCUAAUUGGGGGCUGAGGCAGAAGAAUCACUUGAGCCUGGGAGGUGGAGGUUGCAGGCGCUUCAGCCUGGGUGACACAAUGAGGGAGAUUCCAUCUCAAAAAAAAAAAAAGCAUUGCAUAUCAAAAUAAUACAUAAGAGAAAAUCAAUGAACUUAGAAGCAGCAACACUGUAGAAUACAUGUUUGUAAGAACAAAAGAAGAAAUAAAGGGAAGACAAACCUUGUGGGAAUAUAUUACAGACCACCCAACUGGUAUGGUAAUGAAUGAUACCUUCUGAAGGCAGUUUAUAAAAAUAAUAUAAAGGCAGGAUAAAAUAAUAAGCAGUUGCUUUUAUCUGAAAAUUAUUUCAUUUAUGUUAUGUCUUACAGUGCCUGAGUGCAUUUAUAACAAUAAAUGCUUCUUAAAUGAGAAAAAACAGGCAAGUCUUAAAUUGGUAGAUGUCAGCAUAAUGAUUGCCCCUGAAGGGUUGGAAUUAAAUUUGAAUGCGUCAUAGACAACUUUCAAGGUUGAUGAGAAUGUUCUAUAUCUCCAUAUGAUUUUGUGUAACUACACAUAUGUAUUUGCCAAAUCUCAUUCAAAUAAAUACAUUAGAUCUGUGCUUUUCUUUGUAUAUAUUUUACCUCAAUAUUAAGAUAUAAUAAAAGAUUGUUUUAUUAUUAUUAUUACCAAA